rnacentral:tRNA from 1 species
GGGCCUAUAGCUCAGCCGGUUAGAGCAUCUGACUCAUAAUCAGAGGGUCCCUGGUUCGAGCCCAGGUGGGCCCACUA